UGCGGAGGGAUCAUUACCCAAAU
rnacentral:rRNA from 1 species